rnacentral:lncRNA from 1 species
CUCCAUUAAGAUGUGGAGUAUCAAUGGUUAGAUGUACUAUAAGAUCCUUUUCAUGACCUGAUCUUAUUUACAAAUUUUAUGCUGCUUUCGAAAGAACAAUUUACAGUUUUUCUCACAUUUAAUUAUGCUUUUUGCUGCUUAAUUUGUUGGUCUUACUCUCUCAUUUCCAGCUGAAGAUGACACCAAACAACCUUUCAACCAUAGUCUAUCAACGAGUCCCUUAACCCAAUCAACAAUGCUAUGGUGACAGAACUUUUCUGACAUAAUGGAUGACCGACGCUCAUAUUGGCUGGGGGCUCACUUCUUUUUUGGACUUUUUU